UGAUGACAUUUGGUAACGUACGCGUUGAACCCGGAGACCAUCCACGAUCCUUACAAGCACGCCACACGCAUCCACGAUCAAAAGGUCGAACACCUUCCUUCCUUCGUUCCGCCCUCGGCCGCCGCUUGCCGCCCGCCGCCCGCGGAUCCAGUACCUCGCUCUCGUACCGUCGCCACUGGGGAAAUGGAGGACGCACCGGCCGCGGCGCUGAAGGCGGUUACAUUGACCCACGUCCGGUACCCGCGGGGCGACUCCCUGGGCCACUUCCUGGCGUGGGUGUCCCUGAUCCCGGUCUUCAUCAGCUUUGGUGGGUUCAUCUCCCACUUCAUCUUCCGGCGGGAGCUGCAGGGCCUCUGCUUCGCCCUCGGCCUCAUUAUCUCCCAGGUCAUCAACGAGCUCAUCAAAUCCUCCAUCCACCAGUCCCGCCCCUCGUCGAUGUGCGCCGUCCUCGAGGUCUGCGACUCCCACGGUUGGCCCUCCAGCCACUCGCAGUUCAUGUUCUUCUUUUCGACCUACUUUUCCCUCCUCUGCCUCAUCAACGGCGUCGGCGUCUCCUCCCCCAGCUCUAGACGCAUCAUCGCCCUCCUCCCGUGGCCUUCCGCCUUCCUCACCCUCUACUCGCGCGUCUACCUCGGCUACCACACCGUCCCCCAGGUGCUCGCGGGAUCGACUCUGGGGCUGCUGCUCGGGGCCGGGUGGUACUGGAUCGUGAACACGAUGCUGGUGGACUUCUUUCCGGCAGUGGAGGAGAGCGCGAUCGGGAGAUUCCUGCACAUCAAGGACUCGACGCACAUCCCGAACGUGCUCAAGUUCGAGUACGACAAUGCAAGGGCUGCCAGGAAGAAACCAGCCAAGGAUUGAACGAACCCCUGUUUAUCUGUUGGAAAACGAUUGAGAUCAAACAUGGCGUACAAUAUCCUGAUUCCAGUAUGAAGCCAGGCAUACAUGAACCUGCUGUCUCCAGAGGCAUGUAUAAAAGAUCUUGAAAGAUGAUCUUGCUCCUGACAUGCAUACUACCCUAACUACUGAGGUUUGGCACAAAAUUUGAUGAAAGGGAUUGGCAUGGAUAUAUUGACUUGAAAUUUCUGACCUCUUUCUUCCAGAUCUUGUUUUCAGUGGGGUAAAACUACCUGAUCAGUAUCAGGUCAUACUGGGGAAGAGUGAGUCACGUGCUACAGAGUGACACUUCACGUGCACAGAUGCAAAUAGAUGCAUUCAAUGUGAUGGGGGAAGUGCUGAUGGGGAGUGCAGUGGUAGGACCUACAUGAGUUCCAUGUGAACCCAUACGCGCACCAUGUGCCACAUUAUUAGUAGUAGGUCAUGUAAUCCAUCUUAUUAAUAUUGCUAUAAUACAUUAUGAUUUUUCACAUCAUGUAUAAAAUAAUAGUCAUCAUACAAAUAAUACUCUCUCUAGCAAUCAUUAUACAUCCAACAAGCUAUAAUGUUCCAGUUAUUUA